rnacentral:rRNA from 1 species
UACGAAGGGGGCUAGCGUUGUUCGGAAUUACUGGGCGUAAAGCGCGCGCAGGCGGUCUUCCAAGUCAGUGGUGAAAGCCCGGAGCUCAACUCCGGAACUGCCAUUGAAACUGUUGGACUUGAGUAUGAGAGAGGUGAGUGGAAUUCCCAGUGUAGAGGUGAAAUUCGUAGAUAUUGGGAAGAACACCAGUGGCGAAGGCGGCCGGCUGGGGGUGACCUGACGCUGAGGCGCGAAAGCGUGGGGAGCGAACCGG